rnacentral:rRNA from 2 species
AGAAUGACUCUCGGCAACGGAUAUCUAGGCUCUUGCAUCGAUGAAGAACGUAGCGAAAUGCGAUACUUGGUGUGAAUUGCAGAAUCCCGUGAACCAUCGAGUCUUUGAACGCAAGUUGCGCCCGAAGCCAUCAGGUUGAGGGCACGUCUGCCUGGGCGUCGCAU